GCGCGCGUAGGCGGUUUCUUAAGUCUGAUGUGAAAGCCCACGGCUCAACCGUGGAGGGUCAUUGGAAACUGGGAAACUUGAGUGCAGAAGAGGAAAGUGGAAUUCCAUGUGUAGCGGUGAAAUGCGCAGAGAUAUGGAGGAACACCAGUGGCGAAGGCGACUUUCUGGUCUGUAACUGACGCUGAUGUGCGAAAGCGUGGGGAUCAAACAGGAUUAGAAACCCUVGUAGUCC
rnacentral:rRNA from 1 species